rnacentral:rRNA from 1 species
UGGGGAAUAUUGCACAAUGGGCGCAAGCCUGAUGCAGCAACGCCGCGUGAGUGAAGAAGUAUUUCGGUAUGUAAAGCUCUAUCAGUAGGGAAGAAAGGCCCUUCGGGGAGAUGACGGUACCUGACUAAGAAGCCCCGGCUAACUACGUGCCAGCAGCCGCGGUAAUACGUAGGGGGCAAGCGUUAUCCGGAUUUACUGGGUGUAAAGGGAGCGCAGACGGCAGUGCAAGUCUGAUGUGAAAGCCCGGGGCACAACCCCGGAACUGCAUUGGAAACUGUACAGCUUGAGUGUCGGAGAGGUAAGCGGAAUUCCUAGUGUAGCGGUGAAAUGCGUAGAUAUUAGGAGGAACACCGGAGGCGAAGGCGGUUUACUGGACGAUUACUGACGUUGAGGCUCGAAAGCGUGGGGAGCAAACAG